GGCGUGUCGUCAACAGCAUGGCGGCGUGAUUUAUCGUGAGCGUCCUAUUUCAAUGUAGCUAGAUGUGGCGUAUUCCAAUCUGUUUUCGUUUUGGCCGUAAGAUCCACUGCGUUCAGUCAUUGCAAGCUGUGUAAACGAUCUAUCAGACAGCAAGCUACAUGAACAAGUAGCCUCUCAGCUUUAAUUUAUGAACUACAGUAUAUAUCUGCGGACUACAAUACUUGGUGAAUGCUUUCUUUCACAUGAGAUUGAUAAAAUGCAUUACAGAAUGAAUUCUAGAUGAAUCGGUAUACGUCGUCGUGGAUCAAAAACCAUCAUGGAUUUAGCGAAGUUGAGAAUGUGUAUCCGGUAUUUAUUUGGACAUUGUCUGCUCUGAAAGACUGGUUUUAUAUAAACAAGUAUAAAGACUGGCGCUAAAUGAGG